UACAGAGGAGGCAAGAGUUAUUCGGAAUCACUGGGCGUAAAGCGCACGCAGGCGGAUCGAUAAGUCGGGGGUGAAAGCCCGGGGCUCAACCUCGGAAUUGCCUUCGAUACUGUCGGUCUCGAGUCCGGGAGAGGUGAGUGGAAUUCCUAGUGUAGAGGUGAAAUUCGUAGAUAUUAGGAAGAACACCAGUGGCGAAGGCGGCUCACUGGCCCGGUACUGACGCUCAGGUGCGAAAGCGUGGGGAGCAAACACG
rnacentral:rRNA from 1 species